AGACUAUUUAACGCUCUCUGCCUGCCUCAGUCCCAGCCCAGGCUGACGGAUCCACCUCACUUUGUGUCUUCUGCUGCUCUUAAGAGACUAAUGAGGAAAUUUUCCUGUGACUGCUUCACUUGUGCGCUCCCUCUCUGCAUUGAGCAGCUAAUGAUGGAGAUGUCUCAAGCAGAGCUGGGUGCUUCCUUUCGCCAAACUGCAUCGGUCACUACCUCUCCAUAAUAAAACACCUUCAAGGUGAAUUUAUUUAAGAAUAUUUAACCCACAGCAAAAGCAGCAAACCCUGCAAGAAACAGCUUUUACAUCUCCCGUUGGAAUUUGUGCUCAGGAAGGUUUCUGAUGGGUUUUUUUUGGGGGGGAGGGGCUAAAAAGGGCCCUUUUCAAGCCAGCUCUCUCAAGCCUCCAUCUCCUAAAGCUCCAUCUCAUGUGAGUCCACAGAAAUGAGCCCUUCAUCUCCCCUGUGAGUUCUGCCUUCCUGGUUUCCAGCAGCACGUUCAGAGCAGAAGCAAAGAACUUCCACCUCUCCUCGGACUCAGACUUGAAACUCCAUCUGGAACCUGCAAAGUGACAAAGCUUUUCUACCCAAAGAGACCUGGAGGAGCAGCUCCAUUCUGGUGGAAGUUGCACUCCAGGUGAAAGCUGCUGCUCUGCUGCCUCAGAUCUGUGCGUGAUCAACAGAACACAUUGAGUCCCUGACAGCAAUCUAACCUUACUUCCAGCCACCCAAGCAGUUUGUCUUUCACAGAAUAGUGUUUCUUCCCACCCCAAAAAAGCAGUUUUAUUUUGGCUGCCCUAUCAAACUGCUGCCCCUGAUGUCAGUGCUGAACUUCUCAGGUAGUUCCCAGCUGGAACACUGCUGCUCAGACAGAUUGGAUGGGAGAAGUGGAAAGACAAAGAGCCUGCAUGCAGUAUGGUUUGGCUGCGGUUGGACUUGAUGAUCUUUAAGGUCUUUUCCAACCUAAGCAAUUCUAUGAUUCUAUGCCCUGGAUGUUAAGGGUAAAAACAGAGAUAGGGAGAGAAAGAGAGGAACUCUCCCAGGUAAGGACAGCAAUAGGAUGAGAGGUGAUGACCUUAAGUCAUUCCAGAGGAGGUUCAGGUUGGAUAGAAGGAAGCAUUUAUUUGCAGAAACAGUGGCAAUGCAGUGGCUCAGCUGCCCAGGGGGUGGUGGAGUCACCAUCCCUGGAGGUGUUCAAGAUCACGGAGAUGUGGCACUGAGGGAUGUGGUUAUGGGCAUGGUGGGAUGGGUUGGUGUCCUACUUGGUGACCUUAGAGGUCCUUUCCAACCUCAUUGACUCCGUGAUUUGACAAAACACAACAGAGGCACAGGCAGAACACAUCGCAACACCACCAGGUUUCUGUGGAAGGCACAGCCAGUGAUACGUUUUCCAGUCCGCCAGCGAUGUGUCUGCUUUAUGGCCAGUGAGAUGAUGGGACAGAGGGAUGAGGCAUUAAUAGGAAGGAGACAGGAGCAAGAGACUGAGCAAAAUGCAGAAAUGACUUGAAAACCUAAGGGGAGGGAAGCCAGCGAGAGACAUUUCUGUCUGUUGAACACGAUCGAUGCCUGCUGACAUCAAUCACUGCAAGCUGGGUGCACUGAUGGAUGUUUCCUCCCUGUCUGCAGCGAAGACAAAUGGGUGUGGGCAGGGAACGCCUCGGCCACUGCAUGGAACCCAAGGGAAGGCAGUCCAGGCUGGGGAAGGCACAGAGCAGCCACUCUCAGGUGGCCCAGAGGACUGAGACAUCAUUGAUUAGAUACGUUCUUAAUUAAUUUUUUGAAAUUGCUACAGAUCAUUGCUGGAAGAAGAUGAUUUGUCAAAAGCGGUCCCUUUUGCGGGAACUCAGCGGCUGCAGAGAAACCUCCUGGUAGGUUCCUGAGCUCCGGGAAGGGCUCUGAUGGAAAAGGCAAGGAUCCAGGCUCCUGCAGAGCCCCAUCCUGCCAUGUCCCCCAGCCCUAUGGGGGUAAGAGGCUGAAAAGCUGUGUUUUUUUUCCAUGAGAACUCCCAUAGCAAAAGCACAGAGUGUAUCCGGGAACAAAGCAUCUGAAUCCGACUGAUUCGUUUUGCAUUGAAUAACACAUUACCAUCCGUUCGAACCAAAAGAGGGGAAAUUUAGACUAGCUAUAAGGAAAAGGUUUUUCGUGAUAGGAGUGAUGUGGCAUCGGCACAGGUUGCAGAGAGGUGGUGGGUGCCCCAUCCAUGGAGACACCUCAGGUCAGGCUGGACCGGGCUCUGAGCACCCGAUGGAACUGCAGAAGCCCCUGUUCAUUGCAGAAGAGUUGGACCAGAUGGCUGUGAAAUGUCCCUUCUAACUCAAACCAUUCUGUGUUUCUAUGAUUCAAUGAUCAAGUGCAAGUGAGCACUUCUGCUUGCUUAUGCAAAAUAAAUACACAAAACAAGAACUUUCUCAGAUGGAAAAGCAUUUAAAAAGCUCCAGAGCCCUUGGUGUUCUUUGUUUUGUACAAAACAAGAAAAAGCUCUCCUUCCCUCCUUCCUUCAUCCACACCCUUUGAUUUGUCUGAGCUUACAGUGACAGCUGUGGAAUCCCCCCAGAGGUGUCGGUACAUCAGAGGAACCAGGACCAGGAGUUAAAGACAUUUCUCUUGCUUUAUGGCUGCUGUGGGAUCCUGGUCCAAAUCCUCUUUCUUCCAGGCCACAUGUAUUCUCAGUACAACAGUUCCAGAGACUCAAAUGCUGCAGUUUCCCUAUGCUGGCAGAGCACAGAGCUGAGAACUGGGCUUGUAGUCCUCUCCAUCACAGCGCAUUGCCCAGCCAGACGUCCCCGGGCCUCCUGAACCACAUCACUGCUGCGGGGCCCACCCAAGGAUGGCUGACAUUUAAACAUUCACUCUCAGACCAAAAUUGCCCGUUCCUCCCCAGAACAAACCUGCAAUUCUUUUCAGAGCCGAGGCCACAAAGUUCAGGUGUUUCAAUUCAAAAGUGAGGACAAAAUUGUUUACUCUGCGCUGGAGAAGCAGGGCACAGCAGAAGCAGCUCUGAUGACAGCCUGCCCCUUCUGCAACAGAGGUUAUAACUUGUUUUUAAUCACUGUUUGCUCUCUUUUAUUUCUUGUUUCAUUUUCAGCUGCUCAAGGCAAGAGCUAAAGUCAAUUUACUGUACAUACAGAUUACCUGCUGCUUCAGGGUAACCGAUGGGAAAGGUCUCGGGCUGUGAUGAAAGGAGAAGGUAAAGAGGCUCAGCAGCUACAGCAGCUUGCUCCAGGUCAGAGAGCACACACGGUGCUGGCAGUGACACCUCUGCCACAUGCAAGGCCUACAGUGAACACUACAUGAGGCUUUCUGUGCACUCUGGCAGACCCUGGGACUCAGUCCUCACUCCUCACAUGAGCAAAGCCUGGCUCCCUCCAGCUCUGAGCUGGAACUAUUGGGUUUGAACCUCCCACACCUGAAGGCACAAUCCUGCCUUCUGGGCUCAGUUGGGAUGAGCCCUCACAUUUCUCCAGUGGUUCCACAUUCGUCCAAAGAAUUCCUCACCCUUUUUCCUCAGAGCAGCGACCACAAUUGCAAGCAUUCAACCCACCCCCAGCUAACAACGCAAACCUCUGUAGCAACCUUACCACAAACUAAUACUACAGCAAUAAGAUCCUAAUUACUCCCAUCACAUAUCCAGUUUGGGUGAGGCACAGAAGCCAGAGUGAUGAUUUGGAUUCAUGUGAGCAUCAGGCGCACCAGCAUCCCAUCCAUGCAAAGCAUCAGGGGGACAGGAGGAGGACGAAGCAGCACCUCGCUCAGUUCCUAAUGCUCCAGCUUUAUCCCCCUGCUCCUCCUGCCUUCCCCUGCAUUGCACAGCCCUCACUCCUCGCCUGCUCCCUUCUCCUUGCUGCCACUGCUGCCAGCUGCGAGAGCGGCACGGCUUUGUGAGAUGCUGCAGUGCCAUCUUCAGACAGGAGGGCAGCAGCCACAACCGUGGGAUGUUUUUGCCGUACAAAUAAGGAGGAUUUAAAAACAAACAAUGGAAAUCUGCCCACGUCCAGAUCUGUGCAGAGGGAACGUGUGUCCGGAUGCUGGGGAAACAUUUGCAGUUGGCAUGGCAGGAAUGAAGCGGCGCUGCUCCUGCCAUCUCCUGAUCCCAAAGACACGGCAGUGAGCAAGAGCUGAAGCUCUGCGUGGCCCUGGGAAGGCUGACAUGCUCCACUCUGUGCUAAAGCGCAGGGAUGAUGGGAUCCAACUGCAUUAAACAGCGCAGGGGUUCCACGAGGAGGAAUUCUCUCUCUCCCCUCUAUGAUUCAGCACGCUUAGGUGGGAUAUCGCAAUGCACGCUGUAACAUGUUCCUCCUCUUGCACCCUCCCAGCAAGCUGCAGGACAUCAUUUUAUCCCAAUGCCUUCUUCUGCAGCAGCAAAACAACUGGGCUGGAGACCUCACUUCCCAACCAUGCAUCACAUCCCCAUCACCCUGUGCCAGCCCCUGCCGCCUCCUGACUCGAGCUCCAGCACUUUGGGGGGAAAUCAGUGAAGUGAUGAGGCACAAAAGUGUCAGAGAAGUGGGGGGUGGGCUCAGGUCUGCGCCCCUCCUUUUUAACUCAGUGCCACAUCAGUAGCCACCAACAGCACCGGUGGAUGGAGCCCACUGGUAAAUGAUACAUGUGGCUUUGCAGAGCACUAAUCGGAUGGAGGUUGGUGCUAAGAGACUUUCAGACUCUGAAAGCCAGCGCCUUUAACACAUUUUUUUUCCUCGCAGCACUGGUUGUUUGGGCCAAUUUUUGGUAAUUUCAGUAAUUUUGGCCUGCUUACAGACAUCACUGCUGCUGAAAACCAGUUCUGAGCCCAGGAGACUGCAGCACUACGGAGCUUCAGGGAAGGAAAGCAAACGGCCGCAGGAUCUCCCUGGAUGCUGCCUUAUCCCCACGGGCUCUGACCCUCCCGAGCUGCAAAACACAUCUGAAGGAGGGGAUUGGGUGAGCUCAGGAGUGGAUUUCUGCAGCAACUCCGUGAAGCUGAGAGCUUUUCUAGCAACACACAUUCUGGAUCCUCUCAGAAAGGUAUUCACCUCACCUGAAUUUGGAUGGUUUGAAGUUUAAUUUGUCAGACUGAGCUAGUUAACGUGCUUCUCUCUGUAGUUAAUGGAGAGAAAUAAGAGCUGCUAGAGGGCAAUUCCUCUGACCCGUUGUUAACACUUGUCUCAGCAUGAGAGAAAUAGCCCUCUGGAGAGGCUGCCUUCUGCACUGACUGUAAAGAGACAAAGAUGAGCAGCUCGAGCUCUCAAGUCCCAUUUUUUGACAAAUCCCAUAUGAAGUGCAGGUGGGACUGCCCAGCCAGCAGCACCCCCGGCUCACCUCAACACAACUCAAAGCCUUUCACCAGCUUAAAGACCCGGACUUGUCCUUCGAAAGCUCCAUGCUGAAGAGUUGCUAUUAUUUUUCACGUAGACUUCACUGGAUUUGAUUCCCCGAAGAGCAUCUGGGGAGCACUGGGGGAACAGAGAAGGGCUACAGCUCUGUGCUCAUCCCUACUGCUCCGGGGUGAAGGUGUGAGGAGCUGUGUGGCAGCCCCAGCCCUGAGCAGAGCAUAUGGUGGGCACAACCCAACCUGUCCCCACCAGCGGCCCCAGCCCAAGGGAUGC
ensembl:lncRNA